AUUGAACGCUGGCGGCAGGCCUAACACAUGCAAGUCGAGCGGAUGAAGGGAGCUUGCUCCUGGAUUCAGCGGCGGACGGGUGAGUAAUGCCUAGGAAUCUGCCUGGUCGUGGGGGAUAACGUCCGGAAACGGGCGCUAAUACCGCAUACAUCCUGAUGUAGAAAGUGGGGGAUCUUCGGACCUCACGCUAUCAGAUGAGCCUAGGUCGGAUUAGCUAGUUGGUGGGGUAAAGGCCUACCAAGGCGACGAUCCGUAACUGGUCUGAGAGGAUGAUCAGUCACACUGGAACUGAGACACGGUCCAGACUCCUACGGGAGGCAGCAGUGGGGAAUAUUGGACGAUGGGCGAAAGCCUGAUACAGCAAUGCCGCGUGUGUGAAGAAGGUCUUCGGAUUGUAAAGCACUUUAGGUUGGGAGGAAGGGCAGUAAGUUAAUACCUUGCUGUUUUGACGUUACCAACAGAAUAAGCACCGGCUAACUUCGUG
rnacentral:rRNA from 1 species